CGUGGUCAGUGCUGUGAGAGAGGGGCAGACGGUCCUCUGAGAGAAUGUAACUGAAGGAUUCAAUCUAGAUAAAGGGGAUCCAGAAAAGUCAAAUUGUCAUUGACAACGAAUGGAUGACGAGAACCCUGACAGGUGAAAAUGAACUCUGAUGUGUUCCAUGCCGUCCAUCUGCCAAGGACUGAGGACCAUCAGCGAGCAGGUGUCCAGUGAAGGAAACGCCUCGGCUUCUCUCGAGGGCCCUGCAAAACAGUGGGUGAGUUCCAUCUGCCCAACCGCACUCCAGGAACACAGAAUUACUCUUUUUUUCUGCUUUGCAUCUGCGGUGUCUGAAGGAUUCUCAAGCCAAGAGCGCACCUGCUUCUCAGUCUCUGUUCCUAAAAGAACUCAGGAGCAGCGUGUGUCAGUGUGAUCCAGCCCAGCCGGACGUCCUCACUUUACCUGCAAGCCUGAGAUGGACUCUUCCGCUCCGCAGUGCACAGUGCAAGCCCACAUAUAGGUUUGGGCCUCCUCUUCCCUCCCCAGAGUGUGCACGGUGCAUCUGCAUUUAGUGUGACCCACAUCUUCCCCAUGGCCACCUCCUGGCAGCAGCUACAUAACUUCUCCAGGGGAUCUUCCCAACCCAGGGAUCAAACCCAUGUCUCCUGCAUUGGCAGGCGGAUUCUUUUACCAGUGAGCCACCUGGGAAUCCCAAAUGUUUACUUAGGAUCUUAUUAAUGUUACUAGCUAUAUUAUAAGAUUAUUAUUUCUUGCGUUUCCAAAUGUAUGACUGAGCCUCAGAUAAAAAUUAAGAUGAUUAGGCAACUUGAAACAACUGACCAGAUUUAUAGUUCUAUAAGAGCAGUGACUGUAAUGGUUUAACUCUAGAAAUGGUAAGACGCAACCAGAAGGAACCAUUUUCAGGACCAUAACAGACUAGUUAAGACAGGUGGUCCAGAGGCUUUGGAUUACUGUUAAGGUGGCCUAGUCUGGAAUAGCACAGUAAAUGGCCUAGCAACGAAAUCCUUGGCUGACCUGGGGGUGGGCAUUCCAAGCAUAGGAAGACAAAAUGCUUCCCAAAUCUUGGUCAAAAUUAAGACCAAAAGGGAAGGGUCUGUACAAUAGAGAAUGUUGCUUACCAUCCAAUUCUCCUAGAAUCAAGCCCCUACAGUCACAGACCUAUAACACAUUUUGAAAGGAAUUCAGGGUGAAGAUCAGGAUGAGGUACUCUGUGCUCUGGAAAACUGACAGAACUGGCCCUAUGGUAGUUAGAUAUUUUCAGGAGAAGUUUUUUAUACAGAUCUUCCCAACUUGGAGAAGCACUAGACCCAUUAACUAGGAUGCCUGUUCGUCAUGGCUGGCAGCACCCUUCUCCUGAGAUGAAUGCUUGGUUUCAGGUACUCAUCACCAGAAUCACGUAUCCUGACCUCCCCCACCUCCACCUCUUCAGAACAGUUCUCAGUGCUUUCUGAGAGACUGUCUUGUCUCCUGGGCUACAGUCCUCAGUCUGGCUCACAUAAAAUUUUCCAUGUUUUCUUAGAUUGACUGUUGAUCACUUUUUGUUGACACUUAUAAGAACAAUGCAUGAACAGAGCAAGAAUCUCAACAAAGAAAAAGAAAGUGUAAGAAACUACCAAACAGAAAUCACAGAGCUGAAGAAUAUAAUGACUGAACUGAAAAAUACAAUAAAGGAGUUCAACAAUAGAUUCAACGAAGCACCAGAAAAGAUCAGUAAACUCUAAGACAGGGACAGCAGUGGAACUCAUCCAAUCAGAGCAGCUAACAGAAAAAGGAAUUUAAAAACAGUGAAGAGAGUUUAAAGGACUUGUGGUAAAACAUCAAGUAGAUCAAUAUUUACAUUAUAGGCAUCCCAGAAGGAGAAGAAAGAAAGGGGUAAAAGACUUAUUUGGAGAAAUAAUGGCUGAAAACUUCCUAACCUGAGGAAGAAAACAGAAGUUCAGAUCCAGAAAGCCCAGAGACUUCCAAAUAAACCCAAGGGAACCCACACCAAGAUACAUUAUAAUUAAAUUGUCAAAAGAGAAAGAACGGUUACAAGGCAAUAUUUAGAAAAGUGAGCAGGGAGAAAAGAAAUUCAAUAGCUUAACAUCUGGACAUUUAAACUGUUGGAGGUUUUGAAUUAUCCACGUUACCCUUACUUUGCUGAUUAUUCUUCAGCUAUUUCCAGUGUGUCCCAAAUUGGAGGCAAAAUAUCCCUAUUUAUUUAGAAACUGUCUAAUCCUUGAGCAACUCUAUUUUUUUUUUUUUUUUUUGCAAUAUACUGGUUAGGUCAACACUCCAUAUACUAUGAAGCCAAAGCAUUUCAAAAUUAACAGGCUUAAAAAAUUGCCUGAGCAGUUGGGCUGGGGAGGGAUGCUGGGGGAGUAAAACAAAGAAUGGCCAUUUGAAAUAACCAUCCAAGACUGAGGUCAAAGGGAAGCAGAGAGAUUUUAGGUUCAGCAUAAAUUUGUAUUUCAGAGUAUCACACACAGAGUACAAACACACAUGGCAUUUAUCAGCUUCCCCCAUCCCAGGUUAUAUUCAAUUUUAAACUUCACAAUUUAAAAAGCAGCUACAUCUGUCGAUACAAAAUAUAUACACUUGACUGUACACUGAGUUGGCAAGGAGGUACCACUAAUUUUGUUGUGUUACUUAGCAGCAGCAGAAGGAAACCAGUGUUGCCCAGAUUCAAAGGUAUAAGAAAGUGAAAGUGGUCAGUGAGUUAGGGCCAGAAGGUGAAAGUGAGGGAAUGAGGGGAAACUAAAAAGAUAAACCAAGGACUUCUGCUCCCAUCCACUUUGGGGAAAUUGGGAUCAGACUCACCCUGCCAUCAUAGACAACUGGAAACUGGAGAUCCUGUGUGAAACAAAGAUUUUCAAACUGGGAAACACGCAACACAGAUCCAUGAGCCCUGUGAAAGAGGCUAAACUAAGUGAAUCCCGUUGUUGCUUCAGCUUUCUGCCUGGGGGCACCUACAAGCCAUGGUGCAGAAGGGACUCCUCCUGAAGAAUACAGAAGUCUUGAAAUGAGGAUCAGAGAUUAGAGUUUGGGGAAGCUGAGAAACUGGAAUUUGUGGCACAGAGUUCAUCAGAAGGUUGCUGCCCAGACAAAGAGAACCAGGUUCCCAGUUGUGGAGGCCCUGGAGACUCUGGCUGAAUGCUAAGUCGUGUGUGCAGAAGAUGAAAUCCCCUAGGUCUAAGCAAAGAACUCCCAGGGAGCUGUAAGAUGAACAAGUCCUAGAGCUCCCAGGAGAAUUGAGUUCUAACCAAUCAGAGGAAAAGACUUCGGUGAACAUACAAGCAUCCAGUCAAUACCUCAGAAGAGUCAUAUCACCAUAGGAAGGCUUAACUAGCCUUAGAAUAGAGGCUGAAGUCCUUUAAAAUAAGAUUCCAAAGUAUCAAACUGAUCCGUAAGGAACUUAACUGCCUGCCAGGACAAAGUCCCUAUUAAGUCAACAAAAUCUAGGCACACAACAACAUACAUUAGCAAUGUCUAGCAUCCAAUUUAAAAAUUACUAGAUAAGGCAAGAAAUAAGAAAAUGUGACCCUAAACUGGAGAAAACUCAUUUGAAGGAAACAAACCAAGAAAGGAAAGAAAAUGGAAUUCAGAGAGAAGCAUAAUAAAAUAGCUAUUAAAAUAUGUUCAGUAUGCUCAAGGAUUUAAAGAAAAACAAAUCUAAUGAGAAAAAGGAAAGAUUCCAGAAAACCAUAUGGAAAUUCUAGAGAUAAAGUAUCCAAAAUGAAAAAAAAAAAUUUAGAUUUUAUGUGAUUAUUUAAAAUUUUUCCAGUUUUAUUGAGAUAUAAUUGACAACAAACAGCCCAAUCAAAAAAUGGGCAGAAGACCUAAAUAGACAUUUCUCUAAAGGAGAUAUACAGGUG
ensembl:lncRNA